rnacentral:rRNA from 1 species
GUGCCAGCAGCCGCGGUAAUACGUGGGGUGCAAGCGUUGUUCGGAAUUACUGGGCGUAAAGCGCGUGUAGGCGGCCAAACGGGUCCGGUGUGAAAUCCCUCGGCUUAACCGAGGAAGUGCGCCGGAAACUAUUUGGCUAGAGUACAGGAGAGGAGGACGGAAUUCCCAGUGUAGAGGUGAAAUUCGUAGAUAUUGGGAGGAACACCGGCGGCGAAAGCGGUUCUCUGGACUGUAACUGACGCUGAGACGCGAAAGCGUGGGGAUCAAACAGGAUUAGAUACCCUGGUAGUCC